rnacentral:rRNA from 1 species
GACGAACGCUGGCGGCGUGCCUAAUACAUGCAAGUAGAACGCUGAAGGAGGAGCUUGCUUCUCUGGAUGAGUUGCGAACGGGUGAGUAACGCGUAGGUAACCUGCCUUGUAGCGGGGGAUAACUAUUGGAAACGAUAGCUAAUACCGCAUAAGAGUAGAUGUUGCAUGACAUUUGCUUAAAAGGUGCAAUUGCAUCACUACCAGAUGGACCUGCGUUGUAUUAGCUAGUUGGUGGGGUAACGGCUUACCAAGGCGACGAUACAUAGCCGACCUGCGAGGGUGAUCGGCCACACUGGGACUGUGACACGGCACAGAGUCCUACGGGAGGCAGCAGUAGGGAAUCUUAGGCAAUGGACGGAAGACUGACCGAGCAACGCCGCGUGAGUGAAGAAGGUUUUCGGAUCGUAAAGCUCUGUUGUAAGAGAAGAACGAGUGUGCGAGUGGAAAGUUCCCACUGUGACGGUAUCUUACAAGAAAGGGACGGCUAACUACGUG